rnacentral:rRNA from 1 species
GGGUUGUGAGGUUAAGCGACUAAGCGUACACGGUGGAUGCCCUGGCAGUCAGAGGCGAUGAAGGGCGUGCUAAUCUGCGAUAAGCGCCGGUAAGGUGAUAUGAACCGUUAUAACCGGCGAUACCCGAAUGGGGAAACCCAGUGUGAUUCGUCACACUAUCAUUAACUGAAUCCAUAGGUUAAUGAGGCGAACCGGGGGAACUGAAACAUCUAAGUACCCCGAGGAAAAGAAAUCAACCGAGAUUCCCCCAGUAGCGGCGAGCGAACGGGGAGGAGCCCAGAGCCUGAAUCAGCAUGUGUGUUAGUGGAAGCGUCUGGAAAGGCGCGCGAUACAGGGUGACAGCCCCGUACACAAAAGCGCAUGUGCUGUGAGCUCGAUGAGUAGGGCGGGACACGUGGUAUCCUGUCUGAAUAUGGGGGGACCAUCCUCCAAGGCUAAAUACUCCUGACUGACCGAUAGUGAACCAGUACCGUGAGGGAAAGGCGAAAAGAACCCCGGCGAGGGGAGUGAAAAAGAACCUGAAACCGUGUACGUACAAGCAGUGGGAGCNNNNNNNNNNNNNNNNNNNNNNNNNNNNNNNNNNNNNNNNNNNNNNNNNNNNNNNNNNNNNNNNNNNNNNGGGCGUUAAGUUGCAGGGUAUAGACCCGAAACCCGGUGAUCUAGCCAUGGGCAGGUUGAAGGUUGGGUAACACUAACUGGAGGACCGAACCGACUAAUGUUGAAAAAUUAGCGGAUGACCUGUGGCUGGGGGUGAAAGGCCAAUCAAACCGGGAGAUAGCUGGUUCUCCCCGAAAGCUAUUUAGGUAGCGCCUCGUGAAUUCAUCUCCGGGGGUAGAGCACUGUUUCGGCUAGGGGGCCAUCCCGGCUUACCAACCCGAUGCAAACUGCGAAUACCGGAGAAUGUUAUCACGGGAGACACACGGCGGGUGCUAACGUCCGUCGUGAAGAGGGAAACAACCCAGACCGCCAGCUAAGGUCCCAAAGUCAUGGUUAAGUGGGAAACGAUGUGGGAAGGCCCAGACAGCCAGGAUGUUGGCUUAGAAGCAGCCAUCAUUUAAAGAAAGCGUAAUAGCUCACUGGUCGAGUCGGCCUGCGCGGAAGAUGUAACGGGGCUAAACCAUGCACCGAAGCUGCGGCAGCGACACUGUGUGUUGUUGGGUAGGGGAGCGUUCUGUAAGCCUGUGAAGGUGUGUCGUGAGGCAUGCUGGAGGUAUCAGAAGUGCGAAUGCUGACAUAAGUAACGAUAAAGCGGGUGAAAAGCCCGCUCGCCGGAAGACCAAGGGUUCCUGUCCAACGUUAAUCGGGGCAGGGUGAGUCGACCCCUAAGGCGAGGCCGAAAGGCGUAGUCGAUGGGAAACGGGUUAAUAUUCCCGUACUUGGUGUUACUGCGAAGGGGGGACGGAGAAGGCUAUGUUGGCCGGGCGACGGUUGUCCCGGUUUAAGCGUGUAGGUGUGUGUUCCAGGUAAAUCCGGUUCACUUUAACACUGAGGCGUGACGACGAGGCACUACGGUGCUGAAGCAACAAAUGCCCUGCUUCCAGGAAAAGCCUCUAAGCAUCAGGUAACAUCAAAUCGUACCCCAAACCGACACAGGUGGUCAGGUAGAGAAUACCAAGGCGCUUGAGAGAACUCGGGUGAAGGAACUAGGCAAAAUGGUGCCGUAACUUCGGGAGAAGGCACGCUGACACGUAGGUGAAGUGAUUUACUCAUGGAGCUGAAGUCAGUCGAAGAUACCAGCUGGCUGCAACUGUUUAUUAAAAACACAGCACUGUGCAAACACGAAAGUGGACGUAUACGGUGUGACGCCUGCCCGGUGCCGGAAGGUUAAUUGAUGGGGUCAGCGCAAGCGAAGCUCCUGAUCGAAGCCCCGGUAAACGGCGGCCGUAACUAUAACGGUCCUAAGGUAGCGAAAUUCCUUGUCGGGUAAGUUCCGACCUGCACGAAUGGCGUAAUGAUGGCCAGGCUGUCUCCACCCGAGACUCAGUGAAAUUGAACUCGCUGUGAAGAUGCAGUGUACCCGCGGCAAGACGGAAAGACCCCGUGAACCUUUACUAUAGCUUGACACUGAACAUUGAGCCUUGAUGUGUAGGAUAGGUGGGAGGCUUUGAAGUGUGGACGCCAGUCUGCAUGGAGCCGACCUUGAAAUACCACCCUUUAAUGUUUGAUGUUCUAACGUGGACCCGUUACCCGGGUUGCGGACAGUGUCUGGUGGGUAGUUUGACUGGGGCGGUCUCCUCCUAAAGAGUAACGGAGGAGCACGAAGGUUGGCUAAUCCUGGUCGGACAUCAGGAGGUUAGUGCAAUGGCAUAAGCCAGCUUGACUGCGAGCGUGACGGCGCGAGCAGGUGCGAAAGCAGGUCAUAGUGAUCCGGUGGUUCUGAAUGGAAGGGCCAUCGCUCAACGGAUAAAAGGUACUCCGGGGAUAACAGGCUGAUACCGCCCAAGAGUUCAUAUCGACGGCGGUGUUUGGCACCUCGAUGUCGGCUCAUCACAUCCUGGGGCUGAAGUAGGUCCCAAGGGUAUGGCUGUUCGCCAUUUAAAGUGGUACGCGAGCUGGGUUUAGAACGUCGUGAGACAGUUCGGUCCCUAUCUGCCGUGGGCGCUGGAGAACUGAGGGGGGCUGCUCCUAGUACGAGAGGACCGGAGUGGACGCAUCACUGGUGUUCGGGUUGUCAUGCCAAUGGCACUGCCCGGUAGCUAAAUGCGGAAGAGAUAAGUGCUGAAAGCAUCUAAGCACGAAACUUGCCCCGAGAUGAGUUCUCCCUGAGACUUAGAGUCUCCUGAAGGAACGUUGAAGACGACGACGUUGAUAGGCCGGGUGUGUAAGCGCAGCGAUGCGUUGAGCUAACCGGUACUAAUGAACCGUGAGGCUUAACCUUACAACGCCGAAG